UACGGAGGAUCCAAGCGUUAUCCGGAAUCAUUGGGUUUAAAGGGUCCGUAGGCGGUCAGGUAAGUCAGUGGUGAAAGCCCAUCGCUCAACGGUGGAACGGCCAUUGAUACUGCUUGACUUGAAUUAUUAGGAAGUAACUAGAAUAUGUAGUGUAGCGGUGAAAUGCUUAGAGAUUACAUGGAAUACCAAUUGCGAAGGCAGGUUACUACUAAUGGAUUGACGCUGAUGGACGAAAGCGUGGGUAGCGAACAUG
rnacentral:rRNA from 1 species